CACUCCCCAACAACACUUCCUUUGAAAAACAGAAUGUCACUUCCUCAAUCCAGAGGCCAGAAGUCCCUCAGUUCUGAUCUGGGGAGCCAAGACAGGAAACUCUGGAAAUGACCAUCUUAUGGCAAGAGCUCCUCUGGAGGAAGCAUUGCAGAGAUGAGAGAACUGCACACCUGGGAAGAAAACACGGACACAAGGUCUGAUCAAUACCUGGCCAGUCGCUGCUCUAAGAAAUGGUACCGUUCCUCUCUGAGGCUUCCUCCAAAGAGCUCCCCAACUCCAGGAACCAGAAGAUCAACAGCAGCAACCUAGGAAAAAAGGAAAAAAGUUGUCAACAAUUUCACAUUUUCAGGGGAUUCCAACAACUGUCAGCUUCUCAAGCAAGUAGAACUUUAAACAUUUUGACAAGCGACUGUUGAACUGCUACCAGAAUCUUAUUUAUGUUAUCUGUUUAUGCUGCCUGUUUCAAAAUCAAAUUUUAAAUAUUAUCUUUAGAAUACAUGAUAUACAAAUUGCAGAUGGACAGUUUCCUCUCGCUCUUUUUUUUUUUUUUUUUUUAAGAUUUUAUUUAUU